AAAAAUCCUUUUAUUUUCAGAUUAAUGUCUAAAUUUUGCAUUUUCUAAUUUUAGUUUAAGGCAAAAAAUAUUGGUUUAAUCGAUUUUUCGUAAAAUUUCCCCGGUAGAUUUUUUUUAAAAACAGAUAUGUCAAAGCUAUGAACUUUUCGAACAUUUUAAGGUAAAAUAAAAUGGGGGUCACCAGGCUUUUAAAAAAAGUUACGAGCUUUUGUUUAACCCCUCUACCCCAUAAGGUCUGAUUUCAUUGCACUCCAUUAAUUACUUAAUUGUGAAUUCUUUAUUGAUGGCUUUAAUAAAAUAAUGUUUGUAAUUAUAUCAAUAAACGAUUGCUGAAUAUAAAUGUGGUUAUCGUAUUACUGUUUGUUAUCAAAAAGUGAAAUUUUGAUUAUUUUGGUGAAAUACGGUAAUUUUGUCUGGCGCGAGUUGCUUCCCUCUAAUUUGGCGCCAUUAUCGGACCAGAGGAAUUUCAAGGUCGCCAUUGCCGAGCAGCAUACUAUAUUGAUGAAUACGACCAUGUACAUGCAUAACAGACAUUGUGGCGAAUAUACAACGAUGAAGGUAGAGUUAUUACAUAAGAAAACAUAGAUUUCGAUAUAUUAGGCAGCCAAAUGUUAUCAGUAUAACGAAAAAUACAAACUUGGGGGUUGUCUCAAAAUACUCGCUACUGUUGAAAAUCACUGCGGCUGAAACCUUGCACGGGCUCAAUUUCUGUUCCAUGUUUAAUAUUAUAGAUCGUUAUAGCUGGUAUCUUAUUUAUGUGUUUAUUUUACCUUUUACAGACAAGUUGUAAACAUGUCUGGCCAGUUUUGCAAAAUAUCCGUGUGCAAACGGCCGAAGAGGAAGGGAUGACAUCUACUGUCAUUUUUACGCUACCGUUAGCAAUGGUUAGUGUCAAUGAAUUAGUCUUUUUUAAUCAUCAUUUUUAAUAACUUAUUUCGUAGCCAAGUUAGGUUCAAAUUAGUCCGAGAUUAGCCCCAGCUUGUCUGGCAAAACAGCCGUUGGACGUCAGAGAAAUCUCGGACUAGGGUCAUAUGUAUGUGGGGUACCCCAUAACUUCGGUUCAUCGGGACAGUUUCUACUCCUUGACCCCAACUAUAUUUCCCUUCCCAUUUUACUCUAAAUCCCCCCCCCCCUUUUUACUUCAAUUCUUCCAUCUCCUUGCCCCAAGACAAAAUAUAUUUCAAAGAUACCCCCUUUUCCCUGAUCCCUCAUUCCCCUGUCUCCUUACCCCUGUCCACCCCUCUAUUAAGGUCUGGGGUUUGAUUGACUUCUUUAUUUUCUUGAGAAUAUGAUAUAAUUGGCCUAAUUUGUAAAUGAUAAACCCUACAGUAGGAGGCAAACGAAGGAUUCAUCUUUAUCAAUCACAAUUUGUUUACCAUUAACCCCCCCCCCCCCCUAAUUCUGUUAGGUAUACAAAAAUGUCUUAAGGUCUAGUAAUAGAAGUAUCAGGGUUAAACAUGUACAGAAUGCGGCCAUAAGUAUUUGUCACUUGAGAUUUUUUAGCUGUUCAUAUAUAUUGUAUAUAAUAUAAAAAAGAAGAUGUGGUACGAUUGCCAAUGAGACAACUAUCCACAAAAGACCAAAAUGACACAGACAUUAACAACUAUAGGUGUAUACAUUUUUUCAAAAAAAAAAAUAUUUUGGAUUGAUUUUAAGCAUCCUGGUACCAAUAGAAGCAGUAUUAUCACAGGUUUAUUUUUUGGUUAUAUUUUUUUUGUGUCUCAUUUUCAUUAUUUUCUGUUCAGAAAUUCGAUAUACAUGUAUAUUCAACCAAAUUAAAUUAUAAAAAAAUAUUUUAUGUGUUCUCAAGGGAAAACAAAAAUAAAUGAAAACGAACCUAUUAUCAAAUAAACACAUAUUAAUUUAGACCAUUUUAGUUCUUUUAAGGUUACCCUUGCAUUGUCAGUCUUAUCAAACUUGCAUGUACCUCCCAAAUUUGGUUUCUGUUCUCCAACUUCUAUUUGCCUUCCUCUACCAAUGUUAUGAAACUAAUACACAAUUAAUGCAUAUAUAUAUGCUUACUACAUUGUACCAACAAACACACAUGAAGUUUGAAUUUUUGGUGGGGUCGCUUUUACUUUUCUAGAGUUAUGCCCCUUUACAAAUUAAAAAAAUGCUGAAAUUUUGUUCCUUUCUUUAACACAAGUUUGCUUCAUCCAAAUGUUCUGAAACUUAUAUGCAAUGCUUACUACAACAACACUCAGAUCAAGUACAAAUUUGGGUGGUGUCACCCUUUUCAUCCUUUAUAUGCAAGCGGCUGCUCAUCUGUGUCCCAUGGACACAUUACCAUUAUGAACUAGUCUACAUCUAUAUGCUUUUGAAUGUCAAUAAUUGUUGAUUUUCUGACAGAAUUACUCUGAUAUUUAAUUUCAGGCUGCAAGUACAUUUGUACAUGUACAUUGCAAAUGGAAGGAGUGAGCUUGGAAUGUUCAACUUUACUUGGAAACUAUUGGCAAAGUACUGACAGAAUUUCAUGAGAAGCCAGUAUCAUAUUCUAGUCUUGCAACCGGAAACUAUGCGUAAAGUGCUGAAACUUAAGAACAACAUUCUACAUGUAUAUAUGCAAUAUAUGUUGCCACAAUCCACUUAAGGAGCUAAGAUCAACUAUAAAUUGGAACUACAUGUAUAUGCUUUAGUGCUGUCAAAAUCCUUUAAAAAAAUCAAAUCAAAAGGACCUACUUCACCUAUAUAUAUAGCUACCUGUCCCAAUGAUGAAUACAGAUCAUAUAUAUGAGUCUACUCUUAUAAAUAAAACAGUGAAGGAGAAUAAAAAUAAAGAAAAUAUAGAGCUGAUCAGCUAAUGAUUGUACAUGUACAUGAUGUAUAAAUGGCAACAAUUCUUACAUGUAUACUAGUACAUUGAAAUUAAUUAUAUUAAUAGAUGUUUUAUAAAUUUGAUCUCAUAGAUAUUAGAGGAAUAAAAUCAAUCACGUUUCAAAAAUUUGAUUUAGUUGAGCC
rnacentral:lncRNA from 1 species